GAUAUUUUGAGGUUUCUGAGCAGAGCCACUGAGUCAAGUUUCCAGGCAGUACAGGAUAAAUGGAAAAAGAAGUGGCUUUGCUGGAUCCCUGAUUUUCCUGGAGUCUGUCUAGGUAAGGAGUGAGAUGCCAUUUUUCAUGGACCAAAAGAGAAGAAAGAAUGGACAGGAUUUCCCUGGUUCCUGAUAAAAUGGCGCUGUUUUGCAAGGAACAUAAGGGGCCCUGAAAACACAGGAUGGGCCUUCUGGAAUUAUGGGCCCAAAUCCGGAAAUCACUUCAUCAAGAGGUAGCCAGACAGAACUACAGUGUUAAGUGGCAAUGCCAGCACCCACAAGAACCUAUGCAUUGUGAUCCAUCUGUAACCCUCAGUAAGAGCACUGAAGGGAGGAUGCAUGUCUCAGUGGAGAGCAGAUCCGCAAACAAAGGUGGGCUCUGGGAUUUGGUUCCAGCUCAGUCUACCAAGAAGUCACUGGCAGUGUCAAGUUUUCAGGUGCCCUAAGACUUCACUGCAAAUGGCCUUUCAGUCUUCAUUUCCCCUGCAAUCCAAUGUUAUAUCAAACCUGUU